rnacentral:rRNA from 1 species
ACGAACGCUGGCGGCAUGCCUCACACCUGCAAGUCGAACGAGACCUUCGGGUCUAGUGGCGCACGGGUGCGUAACGCGUGGGAAUCUGCCCUUGGGUUCGGAAUAACAGUUGGAAACGACUGCUAAUACCGGAUGAUGACGUAAGUCCAAAGAUUUAUCGCCCAGGGAUGAGCCCGCGUAGGAUUAGCUAGUUGGUGGGGUAAAGGCCUACCAAGGCGACGAUCCUUAGCUGGUCUGAGAGGAUGAUCAGCCACACUGGGACUGAGACACGGCCCAGACUCCUACGGGAGGCAGCAGUGGGGAAUAUUGGACAAUGGGCGAAAGCCUGAUCCAGCAAUGCCGCGUGAGUGAUGAAGGCCUUAGGGUUGUAAAGCUCUUUUACCCGGGAUGAUAAUGACAGUACCGGGAGAAUAAGCCCCGGCUAACUCCGUG